GCCGUUGUAGCUCAGGGGUAGAGCAACUGAUUCGUAAUCAGUAGGUCGGGGGUUCAAAUCCCUUCAACGGCACCA
rnacentral:tRNA from 1 species